UAAUACGUAGGUGGCAAGCGUUGUCCGGAAUGACUGGGCGUAAAGGGCGUGUAGGUGGAUUGAUCAGUCGGAUGUGAAAUACCUGGGCUUAACCUGGGGGCUGCAUUCGAUACGGUCAGUCUUGAGUGCGGGAGAGGGCAGUGGAAUUCCCAGUGUAGCGGUGAAAUGCGUAGAGAUUGGGAGGAACACCAGUGGCGAAGGCGGCUGCCUGGACUGUAACUGACACUGAGGCGCGAAAGCGUGGGGAGCAAACAGGAUUAGAUACCCUGGUAGUCCACGCCGUAAACGAUGGGUACUAGGUGUAGAGGGUAUCGACCCCUUCUGUGCCGGAGUUAACACAAUAAGUACCCCGCCUGGGGAGUACGGCCGCAAGGUUGAAACUCAAAGGAAUUGACGGGGGCCCGCACAAGCGGUGGAGCAUGUGGUUUAAUUCGACGCAACGCGAAGAACCUUACCAGGUCUUGACAUCCCCUGAGAGCAUCAGAGAUGAUGUGUUUAAUCUUCGGAUUGACAGGGAGACAGGUGGUGCAUGGUUGUCGUCAGCUCGUGUCGUGAGAUGUUGGGUUAAGUCCCGCAACGAGCGCAACCCUUAUUCUUAGUUGCCAGCAUGGAAGAUGGGCACUCUAAGGAGACUGCCGGUGACAAACCGGAGGAAGGUGGGGAUGACGUCAAAUCAUCAUGCCCCUUAUGUUCUGGGCUACACACGUGCUACAAUGGGUGUAACAACGGGAAGCGAGCUGGUGACAGCAAGCCAACCUCUAAAAAGCACCCUCAGUUCGGAUUGCAGGCUGAAACCCGCCUGCAUGAAGUUGGAGUUGCUAGUAAUCGCGAAUCAGCAUGUCGCGGUGAAUACGUUCCCGGGCCUUGUACACACCGCCCGUCACACCAUGGGAGUUGGAAGCACCCGAAGCCGGUGACUUAACCGCAAGGAGAGAGCCGUCGAAGGUGAAGCCAGCGACUGGGGUG
rnacentral:rRNA from 1 species